GAGAAGCAAAUGUUGUUCAAGUUGUUACGGAUAGUGCAAGUAACAAUGUGCUUGCUGGAAAAUUAUUAGAAGCAAAAAGGCCACAUUUGUAUUGGACUCCUUGUGCUGCUCACUUGAUCUUAGAAGAUAUAGGGAAAUUGCACGAUUUUAAAGCAACAUUGAAGAAGGCAAUGAGUGUGAAUGCUUACAUUUAUGUUCGCCCCGGCAUGGUAAAUAUGUUGAGG